CUGGAAUCUUCUGGCAAGAACAGCAGCUUCCUGUAUAGUUCAAUCAAGGCAGAAAAAUCCAGCCAGCAAAUGCAGAGCACAAGAUGAACUGACACUGUUUGCAGCCUAUGAGGAAUUUCCUGGGACAGAGCUCACUGUGAGCAGGUGUGGCCUGCCUGUUGUGUGUCUGUGUUUGCAGUGAAGAGCUUCCAUCAGAGAGGAUGUGCUGUGACUGCUGGAACUGCUGCUGGAGCUCCUUGAGGACACUCACGAGCCCACCUGGAUGGAGGUUUGGAGUUUGGGACUGCCCAUGGGAGCCCUGCUGGAAUUAGCACUAAACUGAACCUGUCUCAUUGCAGCCCACAAAGGGCUCUGCUUGUAUCUGUUGGCUUAAACUGAUGAAAAAUA